rfam:Lentinula edodes NBRC 111202 DNA, contig: scaffold139.
GCCCGCCUAGCUCAAUCGGAUAGAGCGUCAGACUUUUAAGGCGGUGAUGUUGUUCUGCUUAUCUGAAGGCUGCGAGUUCGACCCUCGCGGUGGGCU